rnacentral:rRNA from 1 species
AUGUCAUCAGUUGAGUCUCUAGGCCUGUUUGUUUGGAUAGUAGGUUCCCCUCAAUCUGUAAGACAAGCAGAAAACAGAUUUGUUAGGUCAUUGGAGACAAUUGUAAGGAAGUUUGAUAAGGUUUUGGAAUGUCUGAUCAAGCUUGCAAAAGACAUCAUCAGGCCAGUAGAUCGUCAAUUCAGAACCGUGCAUUCCAAAUUAAGAUCUAGAAAGUAUGCACCAUUUAUGGAUAAUUGCAUUGGUAGAAUAGAUGGGACACACAUACAAGUUGUGAUAGCAGUUGCCACUGCUGCCCAGCAUAGGAAUAGACAUAAGGAGAAGAGUCAGAAUGUGAUGUGUGUGUGUGUGUGUGACUUUGAUAUGAGAUUCACAUUUGUCCUAGCUGGUUGGCCAGGAUCAGUGCAUGACAUGAGGGUCUUCAAUGAUGCACGAUCCAGAUUUGGUGACAAGUUUCCAAAACCUCCACCUAAUAAGUUUUGUCUUGUGGACUCAGGGUACCCAAAUAGACCGGGUUAUCUUGCACCAUACAAGGGUUUAACCUAUAAUUUCCAGGAGUACCGUGAUGGCACAAUGCCUAGAGGAAAAAAGGAACACUUCAAUUUCACCCAUUCUUCACUUAGAAAUGUCAUCGAGAGGUGUUUUGGAGUCUUGAAGAACAAGUGGAGGAUUUUGUUUCACUAG